rnacentral:rRNA from 1 species
CGUAGCCGCGGGAAUACAGAGGGUGCGAGCGUUAAUCGGAUUUACUGGGCGUAAAGCGUGCGUAGGCGGCUUCUUAAGUCGGAUGUGAAAUCCCUGAGCUUAACUUAGGAAUUGCAUUCGAUACUGGGAAGCUAGAGUAUGGGAGAGGAUGGUAGAAUUCCAGGUGUAGCGGUGAAAUGCGUAGAGAUCUGGAGGAAUACCGAUGGCGAAGGCAGCCAUCUGGCCUAAUACUGACGCUGAGGUACGAAAGCAUGGGGAGCAAACAGGAUUAGAUACCCCAGUAGUCCCUGUCUCUUAUACA